AGUGAACGCUGGCGGCAGGCCUAAUACAUGCAAGUCGAACGGCAGCACAGCAGAGCUUGCUCUGUGGGUGGCGAGUGGCGGACGGGUGAGGAAUACAUGGGAAUCUGCCCAGUCGUGGGGGAUAACGUAUGGAAACGUACGCUAAUACCGCAUGCGCCCUACGGGGGAAAGCCGGGGACCGCAAGGCCUGGCGCGAUUGGAUGAGCCCAUGUUCGAUUAGCUAGUUGGCGGGGUAAAGGCCCACCAAGGCGACGAUCGAUAGCUGGUCUGAGAGGACGACCAGCCACACUGGGACUGAGACACGGCCCAGACUCCUACGGGAGGCAGCAGUGGGGAAUUUUGGACAAUGGGCGCAAGCCUGAUCCAGCCAUGCCGCGUGC
rnacentral:rRNA from 1 species